rnacentral:rRNA from 1 species
AUUGAACGCUGGCGGCAGGCCUAACACAUGCAAGUCGAGCGGAUGAAGGGAGCUUGCUCCUGGAUUCAGCGGCGGACGGGUGAGUAAUGCCUAGGAAUCUGCCUGGUAGUGGGGGAUAACGUCCGGAAACGGGCGCUAAUACCGCAUACGUCCUGAGGGAGAAAGUGGGGGAUCUUCGGACCUCACGCUAUCAGAUGAGCCUAGGUCGGAUUAGCUAGUUGGUGGGGUAAAGGCCUACCAAGGCGACGAUCCGUAACUGGUCUGAGAGGAUGAUCAGUCACACUGGAACUGAGACACGGUCAAGACUCCUACGGGAGGCAGCAGUGGGGAAUAUGGGACAAUGGGCGAAAGCCUGAUCCAGCCAGGCCGCGUGUGUGAAGAAGGUCUUCGGAUUGUAAAGCACGUUAAGUUGGGAGGAAGGGCAGUAAGUUAAUACCUUGCUGUUUUGACGUUACCAACAGAAUAAGCACCGGCUAACUUCGUG